GACGAACGCUGGCGGCGUGCUUAACACAUGCAAGUCGAGCGGAAAGGCCCUUCGGGGUACUCGAGCGGCGAACGGGUGAGUAACACGUGAGUAACCUGCCCCAGACUUUGGGAUAACCCUCGGAAACGGGGGCUAAUACCGGAUACGACACAGGUUCGCAUGGGCUCUGUGUGGAAAGUUUUUCGGUUUGGGAUGGGCUCGCGGCCUAUCAGCUUGUUGGUGGGGUGAUGGCCUACCAAGGCGACGACGGGUAGCCGGCCUGAGAGGGCGACCGGCCACACUGGGACUGAGACACGGCCCAGACUCCUACGGGAGGCAGCAGUGGGGAAUAUUGCACAAUGGGCGAAGCCUGAUGCAGCGACGCCGCGUGAGGGAUGACGGCCUCGGUUGUAA
rnacentral:rRNA from 1 species